rnacentral:lncRNA from 1 species
GUGGGGUGGCACUGGGGUGGCACUGUGGUGGCACUGGGGUGGCACUGCCCCUGAUGUCCCCGAUGUCCCCGAUGUCCCCGCAGAAACGCGAGGAAGGCUGGUGGGUGGUGAUUGGGGACUCCAAGUCCAACAGCCUGAUCUCCAUCAAACGCCUGACGCUGCAGCAGAAGGCCAAGGUGACACCGGGGGGACACUGGGGUGACACCGGGGUGACACUGGGGAGGUGACACGGGCACUGACACGAAGCAGGGGUGGCACUGGGUGACACCGAGGUGCCACGGGCUGGGUGACACCAGGGUGACCUCAGGUGACAUUGGGUGACCCCGUGUGACCACACCGGUGUCCCCGUGCCCAGGAGAAGCUGGACCGGGUCACACUGAGGUGCCAUUGGGUGACACCGAGGUGCCAUGGGCUGGGUGACUCUGGGUGACACUGGGUGACACCGGGUGACACUGGGUGACCCCAGGUGACACUGGGUGAUACCAAGGUGCCAUUGGGUCACUCCAAGUGCCACUCCAAGGGCUGGGUGACCCCAGGUGAACUCAGGUGACCCCGUGUGACCACACCGGUGUCCCCGUGCCCAGGUGAAGCUGGGCUGGGUCACAAUGAGGUGCCAUGGGCUGGGUGACUCUGGGUGACCCCAGGUGACACUGGGUGACAUUGGGUGACCCUGUAUGGCCGUGCUGGUGUCCCUGUCCCCAGGUGAAGCUGGGCUGGGUCACACCAAGGUGCCAUUCGGUGACACCAAGGUGCCAUUGGGUCACACCGAGGUGCCAUGGGCUGGGUGACUCUGGGUGACACUGGGUGAUCCCAGAUGACCCCAGGUGACUCUGGGUGACCCCGGGUGACCCCAGAUGACCCCGUGUGACCCCCCGGUGUCCCCGUGCCCAGGUGAAGCUGGACUUCGUGGCGCCGGCGGCGGGCGCGCAGCACUACACGCUGUUCUUCAUGAGCGACGCCUACAUGGGCUGCGACCAGGAGUACAAAUUCAGCGUGGACGUCAAGGAGGCCGAGAGCGACUCCGACUCCGACUGAGCCCAGAUCCCAGAGAAAACCCAAAACUGUCCUUGGGAAUCCCGGAAAUCCCAGGGAAACCCAAACUGCCCUUGGGAAUCCCAGAAAUCCCAGGGAAACCCAAAACUGGCCCUCGGAAUCCCAGAAAUC